rnacentral:other from 2 species
UUUCCCCUGCUAUGUUCGUGAUUAGCAGAAUAUUCAGAACCAACACCAUCAAAUAGGGAGCCUUCCCUGACUGACAGCCGACAAUCCUGCUGGACGGGAAGUCGAAAGCAGUUAAUUAAGGCACCCACCUAUUUUAUAGGUUCGAAUAGACUGCUGACACGGCAUUACAGCGGGGGAGAU